UGUUACAGCCAUGUCACCCUGCAGCCCAAGACCGGUUACUCACUGAAGCUAAGCAGGCUGAGCCUGUUCAGUACCUGGAUGGGAGACCACUAGGGAACACUAGGUUGCUGUUGGAA
rnacentral:rRNA from 1 species